UUUUUUGUGUUUUUGAGACAUGGUCUCAUCAUGUAAAUCUGCCUGUUCUGGAAAAUAUUGUGUGAACCAGGCUGGCUUGGAACUCAGAGAUCCACCUGACUCAGCCUCCCGAGCUCUGGGGUGAAAUGUGUGUGCCACCUCUUCCAUCCCCAAAUGGUUUUCUUUUAAGGCCAGAGGGUGUGUUGUCAUAUAGAAAUCCCACAUUCCAGGUCUGAUGUUUCCUCCUUUAGCCCACCGGCUUUCAAGGGCAAUUUUAUAUUUUGUGCUGAUGUGGCAUUUCCCUCCUGCCUGUAGUGUGCCUCCUUCCACUGCCACCUGAAGGGAGGGCCGAACCAGCUUGGAGGAGGGGAAGGGGCUCCCCAAAGAAGCAGCAUCACAUUGGAU
rnacentral:lncRNA from 1 species